UACGGGGGGGGCAAGCGUUGUUCGGAAUUACUGGGCGUAAAGGGCUCGUAGGUGGCCAACUAAGUCAGACGUGAAAUCCCUCGGCUUAACCGGGGAACUGCGUCUGAUACUGGAUGGCUUGAGUUUGGGAGAGGGACGCGGAAUUCCAGGUGUAGCGGUGAAAUGCGUAGAUAUCUGGAGGAACACCGGUGGCGAAGGCGGCGUCC
rnacentral:rRNA from 1 species